UCCCAGUGCCAGGCGGGGGUGCUGCAGCGAGACACCCCAGCUGCACUUCUCUGGGGGCCAGCACAGACCACUGAGGGUGAGCCGCCUCAUUCAGGCCAGAAUCAGCUGAGAAACAUCCGCAUCACCAGAAGGCUCUGCCCAGGCAGCACUGAGGCCCACCCUGCUGGGAGAAUGCUGCUCUGAGGGCAGUGGGACUGCCAGCAAGGGACACAGGCCCAGGCAGACCUUCCACUCCUACUGAAACACCAAUUAGAAGAUCCCCACCCAGAAACAUCACUUUCAGGCUCAAGGAUCACAAGUUAUGAAGGUGACUGGGAUGCGAGCGCCCCACGCAGCAAGGAAGAGCUCAGCGCAGCGCAUGGAUUUGCGAAGAACAUGUCGGUUCUUGCGAUUCACAAAGAACCUGGAUUGAGUACAAUGGGCAAAGAAGAUGUCAGCUGUAUUUUUAACAUUCUGUUCAGCAAGAAGAAUGUAUAUAGUAAUUUCCCAAAAAAUAUAAUACGAAAUU